rnacentral:lncRNA from 1 species
UUGAAAACUUUCUCAUUCAUUUUUGGUUGGGAUAAAAUCCUUUCUUAAUUAGAUUCCAAUCUCUACCUCUCAUCUCGAGGAUUGUGACUUGAGCUCUAGAUUUCAAUCAAAAUUAUUUUUGCUUGCUACUGCAAAAUGUUAGUCAGAAGGAACCAGAGCAGUGACAAUCAAGAAAUAUUCAAAAUACAUGUGAAAGGCUUAAUUAUAAACGCAAUCUUGAUCCG